rnacentral:rRNA from 1 species
AACGAACGCUGGCGGCAUGCCUAACACAUGCAAGUCGAACGAGACCUUCGGGUCUAGUGGCGCACGGGUGCGUAACGCGUGGGAACCUGCCCUUAGGUUCGGAAUAACUCCCCGAAAGGGGUGCUAAUACCGGAUAAUGUCUUCGGACCAAAGAUUUAUCGCCUUUGGAUGGGCCCGCGUUGGAUUAGCUAGUUGGUAGGUAAAAGCCUACCAAGGCGACGAUCCAUAGCUGGUCUGAGAGGAUGAUCAGCCACACUGGGACUGAGACACGGCCCAGACUCCUACGGGAAGCAGCAGUGGGGAAUAUUGGACAAUGGGCGAAAGCCUGAUCCAGCAAUGCCGCGUGAGUGAUGAAGGCCUUAGGGUUGUAAAGCCCUUUUACCCGGGAUGUUAAUGACAGUACCGGGAGAAUAAGCUCCGGCUAACUCCGUG